rnacentral:rRNA from 1 species
GUCUAUGGCCAUACCACCCUGAACACGCCUGAUCUCGUCUGAUCUCAGAAGGAUAGAUGGUAAUUCUGACAAAAAUAAUCUGUAGAUU